UGAGGUACAUUUAAUUGAUAGGAGAGCAAAAAAUAUUUACAGCUGUCAAAUUCAGCACCCGGGUGCACUAAGAAUUUAACAGUGGCCAAGCAGGGAGAUCCCUCCUCGUGGCAGCCAGAAGAUAACAUGCAAAUGCCAAUACCUGUUGUCAACUAUCCAAUUAAACACAACUCAAUGAAAAAUGCAGCUUCUUCAGCAGUGACAAGCUUAACCUAUUUUAUAAAUUACAUUUUUAUUACAUCAGAACUUCUACCUAAAUUCAAGUAAUUGACAUAGACUCAAAUCUCCCAAUUUGUUGUUUGGAAGCCAGCCAAGAAAGUCUGAAAUCAGAGCUAUACUAAAGAGCUUUCUCCAGGUUUGGGCUGGUAAAGGGGCCUUAUUGGGAUCCAGGAAGUCUACAGCUUCAUCAACUGAGAUCAUACCUUCCAAACUAAUAAGGCCCAAACUUGGGAUGCAAUGCAUGACAAAGACCUACAAUGAGGGGAAUUUCUUUUCCCUCUUGCAGAAUGCUUGAAGUCUUUAAUGCAAUUAGCUUUCUAGACCGGCAGUUUUAUGAUUCUUCAUUGCUGGCAUGGUUGGUUUAGGAUUUGCUAGGGUCAGCAAGUUUGGGUGGAAUACAAAUAAUUUCUGGACUAACAUGCCCUUCAUAAUGAAGCACACUGAGGCUUGAUAGACUAAACUAGGGCUUCUGUGUUUAAAUAUAAAGCUGCCUGUCUUUUUAAGGUUUGAAAAGAAAUAACCCUUCCUCAACUGCCUCCUUCUGGAAUGUCUCAGAAUGCAUUGCUGUAAACCAAGGAGACUGGCCCUUCAGGAGACUGGGGAAGAGAGGGAGAUGCCUCAAGUGCUAGCGCAAUACAGAGCAGCAAUGGGAAUAAACCUGCCACCCCAACAUGCUGUAGCAGGGCAGAAACUCAGGAAGAGGAUGAAGAGGUCUGUGUGGCCCAGACAUUACUAGCAACAGCUCGCUCCCCUUUGCCUCAGGGCUGAGAAGAGCAGAGGUAUCCCUGCCCUCAAAGUAACAGAAGCGGUCAGGAUGUAUGUUCUACCUAAGUGCUAUAGAAUGUGGGCACCAGCAGAAGCAGGCAGCUGCUUUCCUCCCUGAGGCCAGCCUGCAGUAAAGGGAACACCCGAAACGCAGGUCUCACACACCACUUUCAAGAGACAGGAAGAAGACGCAGCUUCCUCGUCCUCUAGCCAACUGUCCUACCUUAACCUGAGAGACAAGUUUGUAAAAGGCUCAUUGUUCAGUGAACUCUGGAAAUUGAGAGGGGAACAAGCUACUACUUUGUUUUCUGUUUACACCCUGACAUUUCUAAACAAGAGAAAAAUGCAGCCCACUUGUGGAAUAGACAAUAUUCUCCUACUUGGCAAGAAAUAACUCAGACUGAACUACAGGCCUUCCCUAUCUCCCUGGGAUACAUGAUAGGGAAUAUCUGUAUAUGUUUGUUCAGUACCUCUGCCAUCCAUUGCAAUUCUUGCAGUUCAUCAUGAAGACAUGGUAAGAACGUGAGUCAAAUUUCACUCAGAGUGCCCUGAAUGUUAUACAC